AAAGCUAAGUAAACCUAACAACCUUUAAUUUCUCUCAUGAACUCAAUAAAAGCACUACGGUUAUUGCAACCACCUUCUUCAACCAUUUAACUAUCUUCAUUUCUCUCCAUCUAAAGAAGAUGAAGAAGAUCAAGAACAAGAAGAAAGAAGAAGAAGAUGAAGAAGAAACAGUUGUUGACAGUCCACGGAUAUGAAAUUACCCAUAGCAUCUAGUGUGGGAGUGACUACUGCCAAUUAUGGUAAGGCCUGGCUACCUCUCAGUUUUUAGCAUCAGAAUUUUAAUGAUGACGUCCAGCAUCUUUUCAUGAGAAUUAAUUAUUUUUAUUUUUAUUUUUUAAUUUUGGGGAGGGAGAUUUUCAAACCCUUUACGUUCUUGUAUGGUUUUAAAAAUCGACUGAUAUCUAAGGUAUAGAGUUUUUGUAAUUCUCAUGUCGAUAUUCCAAUAUAUUAAUUUGAAUGAAAAUUAUGUGUGUAUCGGUUAGGUCCCGA